UACGUAGGGUGCAAGCGUUAUUCGGAAUUACUGGGCGUAAAGCGUGCGCAGGCGGUUAUGUAAGACAGGUGUGAAAUCCCAGGGCUUAACCUUGGAACUGCAUUUGUGACUGCAUAGCUAGAGUACGGUAGAGGGGGAUGGAAUUCCGCGUGUAGCAGUGAAAUGCGUAGAUAUGCGGAGGAACACCGAUGGCGAAGGCAAUCCCCUGGACCUGUACUGACGCUCAUGCACGAAAGCGUGGGGAGCAAACAGG
rnacentral:rRNA from 1 species